GGAGUUGUGGCUCAGCGGUAGAGCGCUCACCUAUCACAUGCGAGGUGCUGGAUUUGAUCCUCAGAACCACAUAAAAAACAAAUAAAUUUUAAAAAGGUAUUGUGUCCAACUACAACUAAAAAUAUAUAUAUUAAAAAAAGUGUUAGGCUAGGGCUGUAAAGCUGUAGUUCAGCAGCAGAGCACUUGCCUAGCACGUGUGAGGCCCUGGGUUCAACCCUCAGCAUCACAU
rnacentral:tRNA from 1 species